GUUCGGCCCUGAAAUUAUACUUUUAAAUAAUAUAAAAAGGAGAGAGCCGAAUGACUUCUGCAGCUGAAAUGUACUCCUUUUUCCCCGUUUUAUUUUUUUUUAUUUUUUUAUUGGUCUUCUCUUGGCGAGGAUAUAAAUUAAACGAGUCGUAUAUAGAAGAAAGCGAAUCGUUAGUUUAGGGCCGUACAAGCUCUUAAGAUUAUUGGU